GUAAACAGCAACAAGCUGCGCUCAGUGGCAAAAAGAGCAGUUUUACCUAUAAACUUGGGUUAUAGUAAGAAAAGGAAUCGGAUCAACAUGCCAAUCCUUAAGGCUCCAACUUCUCUAGAAAGAGCCAAAACUAUGCUGAUAAAUCUAUAACUAGAGGUUAAUAAUAAUCGAUGUUGUAAAACCUUGAUAUCCGCUGGGGUUUUUCGGAGG